UGCCUGGAGUGAAGAUUCUGCCCAUUGGUCAAGAGACCUCCCUCUCAGAUGCUGGCUCUGCCCCUGCCUUUGGGGGUCGACCCUUGUACUCGCAGGACCUUAGGUGACUCUAUUCUACUUCUCUGAUCAUCCAGGAAGCCAACCUGCCUGAGGACGAGUCAUACUCUGUCCUCCCACCCCAGGCCAGAGAGUGGUAUCUGUCUUUCCACAAGUUAAAGCACAGGUGGUGAAGUGUCUCAUUUCAAGUUGUUGUGGUUUUCUGCCAUGGAGGAAAGUGUUGAAAAAAAAGGGAACUAUACAGCAUAAAGAUGGGUUUUCACAGAUCCUGUCAAGGCACCAGCACUGGGCUUCCCCAUGGGUGAUGGAAAUGAUGAGGAAAACCACAUCAUUGCUGCCUUGCCUUUAGGCCAACCCUUCUGCACUGGAGACCUCAGUUGCCUGUGCCUAGGACAAUGAGGAAUGGUGUCAA
ensembl:lncRNA HRG-AS1 HRG and FETUB antisense RNA 1